UCCAACUUAACGUUGGCAGUCUCAUUAGAGUGCCCAACUGAAUGCUGGCAACUAAUGACAAGGGUUGCGCUCGUUGCGGGACUUAACCCAACAUCUCACGACACGAGCUGACGACAGCCAUGCAGCACCUGUCUUCCUGUCCCUUUCGGGCCUUCUGUAUCUCUACAGCGUUCAGGAGAUGCCAAACCCAGGUAAGGUUUUUCGCGUUGCAUCGAAUUAAACCACAUGCUCCACCGCUUGUGCGGGCCCCCGUCAAUUUCUUUGAGUUUUAAUCUUGCGACCGUACUCCCCAGGCGGGAUACUUAACGCGUUAGCUCCGGCACUGAAGGGGUCAAUACCUUCAACACCAAGUAUCCAUCGUUUACGGCGUGGACUAC
rnacentral:misc_RNA from 1 species